rnacentral:rRNA from 1 species
UACGAAGGGGGCUAGCGUUGCUCGGAAUGACUGGGCGUAAAGGGCGCGUAGGCGGAUGGUACAGUCAGAUGUGAAAUUCCUGGGCUUAACCUGGGGGCUGCAUUUGAUACGUGUUGUCUAGAGUGAGGAAGAGGGUCGUGGAAUUCCCAGUGUAGAGGUGAAAUUCGUAGAUAUUGGGAAGAACACCGGUGGCGAAGGCGGGUCUCUGGGCCGAUACUGACACUGAGGAGCGAAAGCGUGGGGAGCGAACAGG